rnacentral:tRNA from 1 species
UUCUCGGUAGUGUAAAGGAUAAGAGCACAGUCCCUGGAAAGGACAAGUACGGGUUCGAGUCCCGUCCGAGACU